rnacentral:rRNA from 1 species
UACGAAGGGGGCUAGCGUUGUUCGGAUUUACUGGGCGUAAAGCGCACGUAGGCGGAUCGUUAAGUCGGGGGUGAAAUCCUGGAGCUCAACUCCAGAACUGCCUUCGAUACUGGCGAUCUUGAGUCUGGAAGAGGUGAGUGGAAUUCCUAGUGUAGAGGUGGAAUUCGUAGAUAUUAGGAAGAACACCAGUGGCGAAGGCGGCUCACUGGUCCGGUACUGACGCUGAGGUGCGAAAGCGU